rnacentral:rRNA from 1 species
GUAGUCCAUGCCCUAAACGAUGUACACUUGAUGUCGGCCCUUAGGGUCGGUGUCGUAGCUAACGCGUUAAGUGUACCACCUGGGGAGUACGCUCGCAAGGGUGAAACUCAAAGGAAUUGACGGGGGCCCGCACAAGCAGUGGAGCAUGUGGUUUAAUUCGAUGCAACGCGAAGAACCUUACCUAGGCUUGAAAGGCCGUCUAAACCCAUGAAAGUGGGCUACCCGCAAGGGGGGCGGUACAGGUGCUGCAUGGCUGUCGUCAGCUCGUGCCGUGAGGUGUUUGGUUAAGUCCAGCAACGAGCGCAACCCCUGGAUUCAGUUGCCAGCACGUAAUGGUGGGAACUCUGGAUCGACUGCCUACGCAAGUAGUGA